rnacentral:lncRNA from 1 species
GGGGGAGGUCCCAGGGAAAUACUUCCGGGGCAUCCUCCCGCUCCGCGCGCUAGUUCCGGAAGUGCUUUUUUUGGACCGGACUGGGACUCAGAGGGGUUUGCGUGACUGCGGGACGCCUCCGACUGGUACCCUACAAAUGCUUGUCAGAAAUUGGCUUGGAGGCCGGGCGCAGUGGCUCACGCCUGUAAUCCCAGCACUUUGGGAGGCCGAGGCGGGCGGAUCACGAGGUCAGGAGAUGGAGACCGUCCUGGCUAACACGUUGAAACCUCGUCUGUACUAAAAAUAAAAAAAGAAAAAUUAGCCAGGCGUGGUGGCGGGCGCCUGUAGUCCCAUCUGCUCGGGAGGCUGAGAGAGGCGGAGCUUGCAGUGAGCCAAUAUCGCGCCACUGCACUCCAGCCUGGGCGACAGAGCGAGACUCCGUCUCAAAAAAGAGAGAGAGAGAGGAGAGAAGAGAGAGGAAAUUGGCUACAGAAAGAAAGAAUUGGCUUGGAGAUUUUUCGCUGGCCACUCCUUCUUGAGCCCUGACUGAAAAUGCUCUCCGGGAUUGCAGUCCCAGUCCCCUGUGCAGAGCUCGACGCAGGUACCUAUGGAAGAACAGAUGUGCUGAAAACCACCGUACUUUUGGGACAGAUGCUACAAGAACAGCCCUUGAUUAAGAAUCCCGGUCUUCUCUUCACUGAUGCACAUAGAUGCCUGACCAGAGGAGAGACUUCGUUUUCAUCUGAGGAUUAUCUCUUAUGUUGCAGUUCUGAAAUUCCCAUAAUGUUUAAACUAGAACACAAUUCAUUUCAUUAUCUCCAAUGUGUAGAACUUGAUAGAAAUAUAUUCCAUUAUGUAGCACCUUAAAUUCAGAUAAAAUAUAAGGAACUUUUAUUCCAUGUUUGUAUGAUCAAUGUUAAUAAUAUAAAAAGUCUAAAAAGUAGCUAUUUCCUAUAUUACAGUAUGAAAUAAAUAUGUUGAAUGAUUUGUUUUGGGGNNNNNNNNNNNNNNNNNNNNNNNNNNNNNNNNNNNNNNNNNNNNNNNNNNNNNNNNNNNNNNNNNNNNNNNNNNNNNNNNNNNNNNNNNNNNNNNNNNNNGUAUAUCAGCCCUGAGUCUGCAGGGUAAUGGUGCAGGCAUCCACUCUCUCAUCUCUCCACCCCCAGACACUGACAUGGCUUCUGUUUGUAAGUCCCUAUUAAAUAUCACUUUAUUUUUUUGUUGUUUUGUUUGUUUUGUUUUGUUUUGUUUUGUUGAGACGGAGUUUUUCUCUUGUUUCCCAAGCUGGAGUGCAAUGGCGUGAUCUUGGCUCACUGCAACCUCCGCUUCCUGGGUUCAAGCAAUUCUCCUGCCUCAGCCUCUCGAGUAGCUGGGACCACAGGCAUAUGCCACUAUGCCUGGCUAAUUUUUUGUAUUUUUAGUAGAGACGGAGUUUCUCCAUGUUGGUCAGGCUGAUCUCGAACUCCCAACCUCAGGUGAUCUGUCUGCCUCAGUCUCCUAAAGUGUUGGGAUUACAGGUGUGAGCCACCGCGCCCAGCCACUUUCUAAGAGAUAGGAUUUGUCAGUGGCUUUCUUCCGCCUCUCAGAUUCAUUGUACUUUGGGGGUAGGCUUGCAUAGAUUUGCCCGCCAUGGAACAACUAUGAAUAUUUUAUGAAAGAAUGGCGGUGUUACAGUUGUGGAAUACCAUAGUUAUAUUACAUUCAGGGAGUGGCAGCCCCUGCUGUGUUUCAGAUGUAAUUUCAUUCCUUCCUAUAGGCUGGUGAGGCCGGAAGACUAUGGGGUUACAUCACUGUGUAUUUUGUUGGCGUAGGAGAAGGUGAUAUUUGUGAGUCUUUGGGUUUCAGCAUGAAACUGAGAAAGGGAAGCUCAGUGAAGAGGAGAACAAUGGUAGAGUGGACACAUUAUUUUUUGGAGUUGGACGAGCCUGAAACAAGUAAAGAUUUCUGGGCCACCAGUGACUGUCCAUGGCACAGAUCCAAGCAUACCAGUCAGAAAGCAGCCACUUCCCAGGGAGCAUCAUGUAGCUUUUAGAGCUCAAGGACACCACAAGCCACUGUCAGGUGAGAGGUGCAAUUCACACAACCCAGCACAGAGGCCCCCUCUUUAUUUCUCAAAGUUCUGGGAGAACCCAAGACCCAUAGCCUUUAUUUUAGGGACUGUUUAAUCGGCUUGGCAGAGAAAGAGACUAUGUAAUUGACCCAGGUCUUUGAGCUCUUAGUAACUGAAAUCCUGUAACACAGGCAGAUUUAGCCCUUUUGUUUCUAUUUCUAUAUUUAAUAUAAAUGUAUAUUAAAUUUUUGCAAACAUUUAGCUUUUGGCUAAAGUCAGCUUUUGGCCACAGCUGUU